rnacentral:rRNA from 1 species
UUGGGAAUCUUGCACAAUGGGGGAAACCCUGAUGCAGCGACGCCGCGUGGAGGAUGAAGGGUUUAGGCCUGUAAACUCCUUUUUUCGGGAAAGACUUAGGACGGUACCCGAAGAAUAAGGACCGGCUAACUACGUGCCAGCAGCCGCGGUAAGACGUAGGGUCCAAGCGUUGUCCGGAUUUACUGGGCGUAAAGAGCGCGUAGGCGGCUCGUUAAGUGUAGAGUGAAAUCUCUGGGCUCACCCCAGAAACUGCUCUGCAUACUGGCGAGCUAGAGGGUCGAAGAGGUAUGUGGAAUUCCUGGUGUAGCGGUGAAAUGCGUUGAUAUCAGGAGGAACACCCAUGGCGAAGGCAGCAUACUGGUCGGCAUCUGACGCUGAGGCGCGAAAGCGUGGGUAGCAAACAG